CUUCUAUUCUGGGAGGAGACUAGCCCCACCCUACAGUGAGGUCACAUUGCCCACCCCCUCCUACCCUCUUUUUCUGUAUGUUCUCUUUGUCUCUGGAGGAGGAGGAAGAGAUCACCCAUCUCCCUGUUCCUUUGACUGUGGAGGGUGGGGUGAGCAUCUUAAGAUCUGCCUGUCUCUCACCCUCUCCCAUUCCCCUUCCCCUGGACACCCCAUCCUCCAGACUGAGCGAUCCUGAGGGUCCUGCUACUGCCUAAGAGGCUGGGUGUGAGCACCUGGCGAAUGGGUCUUUUUCAUGUGCCUUGUUGCGGAACAGAAAGAGAGGACUGUCCCUGACCCUGCGGAUCUCCAUGAUUUACAGACUGAAAGAAGAGAGCUGUUUUCAGGGAUGAAAAGAAAAGUGAGCAGAACUGAUUGAAGCAUUCGAGCAGUGGUGUGCAAUGUGUAACUCCUGUGGACCUAUCACCUCCUGGAUGGGGUCCUCCUCCCAGACACUUGAGCCCACCCAACAUCAAGAUACUUGGGGAGUUCCUAACUCAGGCAGGGCAACUCAGGUUUUUCCUCAGGAUGGGUGGUGUACUUAGAAAGGGCUAAGCACUUGCAGAAGCUCAGUGUACUGAGAAUGAGCCCUUUUCCUACCCUUCCCUGCCUCAAGCCAGCCUCCUGAGCAGUGGCUUGGCAACAGUCUUCUGGGAUCUCUGAAUCUCUCUUCUAGAGGGCUUAGGGUUAGAACACCAGGCUUGGAAUUAGGAAGAUCUGAGUUCAAAUCCAGCCUGUGGCACUUAUUAGCUGUGUGACCUUUGACAAGGGCAAGUCAGAGUGUUUGAUGUCCAGCACUCUUUCAUCUUUCUGCCUCCUCAGUAAGACUGACAUCCCAUCUGAAUGUGUCUAUGAUCUUACAGAGCUGUCUGGGGGCACUAAGAGGUUAGGUGACUUGAUUGUGGUCAUGCUGUUAGCAUGAGUCUGAAGCAGGGCUCAGUCUCUGAGCCUUCCUGACUCUGCAGCUGGCCCUCUCUCCUUAGGCCUCAGAGGAUCUCCCUCUUUCAUCCAGACACAGUUCAAGCAUCACCUCUUCCAUGAAGCCUUUCUUGAUCCCAAUUUCUAGUGGCCUUGCUCCCAGACUGCCUUGUAUUUUGACUUGAUUUGUAUUUAUUCUCUAUACCCUUUAAUGUAUUCUCUGUCUCAUAAGAAGGUAAGCUUCUAGUGCUUAGGGAUUGUGCCCUACUGAGUGUUUGCUUCUCCAGGGCCUAGCACAGUGCCUGUAAAACAGUAGGUACUGAAGGAGUGCUUGUUGAUUGCUUAAUUGGCCCCCUGUCUUUCCAUAUGCCCAGAACGUAGGAGGAGCUUAAUCUAUAGGCAUCCAAUGAAUAAAUGAAUGAAUUGGAGGUCUAAGAGUAAUUAUUAAUGAUUAUAUUGAUUUCUAUUAGUUAUAACUCUAAUUUAUGAUUUUGUAAUUUUAUUAUUUUAUUCAUUGUAUUUGAUUUGCAUAUCCAGUUAUAGUUUAAUUUAAUAUGUGGUGUGAGGUAUUGAUCUCCUGUCAAAUUUGUCCCAAACUGCUUUCCACUUAUGCCCUCUGUUUUGUUUUUAUCCAUUACAGGAAGUUCAUGCUUUGCAGAAGAGAACCCUUGGGAAACCUCUGAGUAGAGUGACAUUGAAGUCAUUUGAAGUUGCCCAUGGAGUUGGCUACAAGGGAGGGAGGGAGACAGGAAGGGGAUGAGGUGCCUGUGAAGGAACAGGAACAAGAGAUAGGUCCAGGCCUAUCUCUGUCUGGGGACAGAGAAGGAAAAACAAGAGGAGGAUCAGGUGUGUGACAGGGCCAGCCGCUUGAUGGCCUAGCCAGAACUGAGAGGAAGCAUACACAGGGGAUAGACACUUGGAGAUGGGACCUGGUCUCAUACAGGAGAGGACAGGCGACAUGGGGACCAAAGAAAGACAUACAGUACCCAAGCUCGGGUGAACAGAAGACAGACACGUGGAUGCCAGACACCUGGCUAAAUGGGUAGAGCAGCCAACAGUCUGCUCUCAUGGCACUGGAGGUCUCAAACCAAGCCCUGAUGCUGAUGCUGCAGUGGUGGAAGGAGUCACUCUGCACGUCCAACGUCCCUUUCUUUCCAACUUCCUGUGUCUCCAUUAAUCCCCUUUAGAUCCUUGACCUCAUUUAAAAACUGCUCAAUGAUGUUUUCUACUUCUUACAUCCUGGGAUCCCAUGUAACCCUCCCUCUCCCUCUCCUCCUCCCUGAGAGCCAUGCCAUGUGACAAAAGAAUGGUGUUUUUUGUUUUAGGAGGGAAACAAAUUCAACACAAGAGUGGGAGACAAUCUUUCUGGGAACAGUCCAGUUACUACAGGCUCACCAUCUGCUGAGGCACACCUAAUCUGAGAACACUGAACAAAUAAAAUCCUGCUGGCUGCUGACACACGCUCUGAACACUCAGAGGAAAAGACUUUUGUGGUAGAAGACACACUUUCUGAGAACAUUCUGGUGUAAGAGAGAAACUGGGAAGUCUUCGUGGGCAAAGAAAUCAGCCCUUAGGAGAAACAUAGGUGGGGUAUACAGUUCACCCAGUGUGGCCUGAGACUCCACCUUUGUUUCUCUGAAGAAAGGUUGUUUUCUUUGCUCAGGAAGGCUUCCCAGUCUCUCUCUUACACUACUUACUACAGGCUUGCUUUCUAUGAAAAAACAUCCAGCCUCAGAACACUCAGAGGAAAAGAUACUUGUGGCAAGAGACACUCUCUGGGAACAGUCCAGUUACUACAGGCUCACUCGCUGUGGAAGCACAUCUAGCCUCAGAAUACUCAGUGGAUGAAAUGCUUAUAGGUGGAGACACACGCUCUGAGAACAAUCUACUUACUACACGUUCCCCCUCUGUGGCAACACAUCGAGGGAAAACAGAGGCCAUAGAAGCAUUCCUGAUGAAAAGACAUGAGGAGGGAAACAAAUUCAACACAAGAGUGGGAGACAAUCUUUCUGGGAACAGUCCAGUUACUACAGGCUAACUCUCUGCGGAAGCACAUCGAAUCUCAGAACACUGAACAAAUGAAAUGCUGAUGGGUGGUGACACACGCUCUGAACACUCAGAGGAAAAGACAAUUGUGGCAGAAGACACACUUUCUGAGAACAUUCUGGUGUAAGAGAGAAACUGGGAAGUCUUUGUGGGCAAAGAAAUCAGCCCUUAGGAGAAACAUAGGUGGGGUAUACAGUUCACCCAGUGUGGCCUGAGACCCCACCUUUGUUUCUCUGAAGAAAGGUUGGUUUCUUUGCUCAGGAAGGCUUCCCAGUCUCUCUCUUACACCACUUACCACAGGCUUGCUUUCUAUGAAAAAACAUCCAGCCUCAGAACACUCAGAGGAAAAGAUACUUGUGGCAGGAGACACUCUCUGGGAACAGUCCAGUUACUACAGGCUCACUCUCUGUGGAAGCACAUCUAGCCUCAGAAUACUCAGUGGAUGAAAUGCUUAUAGGUGGAGACACACUCUCUGAGAACAAUCUACUCUCUGUGGCAACACAUCGAGGGAAAACAGAGGCCAUAGAAGCAUUCCUGAUGAAAAGACAUGAGGUGAGUUGAAAAUGUGACUUUCAAAUACAAGACACAAAAGAAGCAUUAAAAGGGAAAUGUGACUGAGAAAACAGAAACAACUCAAUAAGGUUAAACUGGACACUUUUCCAUAAAGGGAGAUGAUACAUAUAUCUGCUCAGAAUUUUAUCAUUAUUGGAGCAGGUAGAAGGACUCUACUUCAUAGAGAGUUUGAGCAUAAGCCAGUUAGCUAGGGAUGAUGUAAAAUAAAUGGAUAGGCAAGAAAUAUGGAUGCCCUGGGAGAAGAUAGAAGGCAGAGAAAGAAUGGGGGAAAUGAUCUCACAUACAAUAGGUGUGCAAGGAAGAUCUUUUACUGAGGAGAGGAAAAUGGUGGUGGUGAGGAGGCCAGUGCUUGAACACCCCAUCAAAAUGGGUACAAAAAGGGGAAUUCAUAUACAUAUAUUUAUAUAUGAGUAUAUAUUUAUAUAUGAAUGACUUAAUUGGUCAGAAACAUUUAUCUUACUCCAUAGAUAAUUAGUAGUAAGGGAAAAGAGAAGGAAAAAUGGGGGAUAAAAGGUUGGGCAGCUAAAAGAAGGCAGUGGUCAUAUGGAAAACCGGCAUUAGAGGAAGGACAGGAGGAACAGAAAGAGAAGAAAAUGGGAUGCAGGAAAAUGCAUAGUUAGUCAUCAAAUCUGUGUGAAUGGGAUGAACUCACUCAUAACCUGGAAGGGGGCAGCAAAAUGGAUUAUGAGCCAGAAUACAACAAUAUGUUUUGUUUUACAAGGAAUUUCUUGAGCCAGAGAGAAUCACAGAAUUAAAAUAGGGGGCUGGAACAGAAACCUUGUACUACUCAGCUGAAGGAAAAAAGGCAGGGGUAGCAUUCAUAAUCUCAGACAAUGUAAAAGCAAUAAUACCCCCAUUGAACGGAUUAAGCAGGGAAACUAAAUCUUGUUCAAAGGAACCAUAGACAGUGGAGUAAUUUCAACAGUGAAUAGAGAUAUGGGAAGUGGUACAGCAUUCCCAUUCUUAAAGGAAAAGUCAAAUAAUUACAGGAGGAAAUAGACAGAAAAUUCUAGUAAUGGGGGAUGUCAGCGUUUCCCUGUGAGAGCUAGAUGAAUCUAUUCAUAAAAUCUGAAAGAAGUCAGGAAGAUGAAGAGAAUCUUAGAAAACUCAGCUAUGAGAGACUUCUGGAAAAAACCUGAAUGAGAACAGAAAGGAGGCCAGACAGAUGUUACUUUCUGUAAAUUUACAUUAUGCAAAUUGAACUUUAUAGAAGGAAUUCAGAGAGAACUCUGCAUUUCAAAAGCAACCCUAUGUAAACUUUAUAAGACAGUGCUGGGGUCUCUUUGUGCUCCUGCCCUUUGGCUUGGCACUCUGUGGUCUCUUGUAUGCAUGGACCCCACCAGAAAAACAAAGAUACAAACAAACCUUAAAGAAAUCCUCCAGGUGAAAGCAGAAGAACAGAUCUGCAGAGAGACAGCCACCACCACUGCUGGAUCAGCGCUUGGCUUGAGACCUCCAGUGCUGAGAGAGGAGACCUUGGUUUGAGGCCACCCACCCACCCCAGAGUUUGGUCUCUGUGUUUUGGUGCUUUGUCCAUCCACGUGGGGUCACUGUGUGUGUCUGUCCCUGGUCCCUGGGUGUCUCCUGUCCUCUCCUGAAUGUUUCCAAGGCUGGCUCGCCUGUGUCUGCCUGCUGGCCUGUUCUUCAUUUCAGUUCGAGCCAGGCCUUCAUGUGGCUGGCUCUGGUAGCUGUGUGGUCGUGCUCCUCCUCUUCCUUCUCUGUCCCCAGCUCGAUGUGUUCUGGAACCCUGGGCUGGCCUCUCCUCCACAGGGCACAGUCCCUUUGUUGUGGGCCCAAAGUUCCCCAGAAGUUCUCUGGGGCACAUUGAGGAAUCUUCUCCUUGAGAAACUAAACCAGAGGGCAGAUAGGCCUAGAGAGAUAAGUGGAACCAAAUCAGAUUGAGGUAGUUUAGGGACCUCCACCCUUCAGUGUGAUCUCCCUUACCCCUGGGGAGAUAAGUUUGGGUGUGGCUGUGGCCUUUGAGUCCUGAAGAGAGCCACCCCUGACCCAAUUCCUCUAAUCACCACCAGUGGGGGAUGGUCCUCCCUCACUAAAGGAACUUUCCACAGACAGAUGGUCCACCACCAUCAGCCCCCUAUAAAGUACCUCCCAGUCUCCUGCUCAAGGAGAUUGGUACCUCUGAGCC